rnacentral:rRNA from 1 species
UGAGGAAUAUUGGUCAAUGGGCGAGAGCCUGAACCAGCCAAGUAGCGUGCAGGAUGACGGCCCUAUGGGUUGUAAACUGCUUUUAUGUGGGGAUAAAGUGCGUGACGUGUCAUGCAUUGCAGGUACCACAUGAAUAAGGACCUGCUAAUUCCGUGCCAGCAGCCGCGGUAAUACGGAAGGUCCGGGCGUUAUCCGGAUUUAUUGGGUUUAAAGGGAGCGUAGGCUGUCUAUUAAGCGUGUUGUGAAAUUUACCGGCUCAACCGGUGGCUUGCAGCGCGAACUGGUCGACUUGAGUAUGCAGGAAGUAGGCGGAAUUCAUGGUGUAGCGGUGAAAUGCUUAGAUAUCAUGACGAACUCCGAUUGCGCAGGCAGCUUACUGUAGCAUAACUGACGCUGAUGCUCGAAAGUGCGGGUAUCAAACAGG